rnacentral:RNase_P_RNA from 1 species
GGAAACUCCGUCCACCGCAUAGACCGCAACGCCGCAAGGCGUAGGGCGAGAGCCCUGGCUCCAGAACAGAAACGGAAAGUCCAUCAAGCCUGUGACGUUGAGGCGUGCUAAGUCGCCGAGUAGGCUUGGUGGAAACGGUGAAACGGCUGCCCUGCGGGGUGGAAGGGCGAAUAGGCGUCGAUGAGUUCUGUGCGAGACGCGGGUAGCCCGUAUAGUUGAAUGCCGUCUAAAACAGAAGGCGGGUUACAGUCAGCACAC